rnacentral:rRNA from 1 species
GGAAACGUCAGUGUCUUGUGAAAUCCCACGGCUCAACCGUGGAACUGCAGGGCAUACUGCGUUUCUUGAGGCCGGUAGAGGUCGUCGGAACUCUAGGUGUAGCGGUGAAAUGCGUAGAUAUCUAGAGGAACGCCAAAGGUGAAGACAGGCGACUGGGCCGGUUCUGACGCUGAGGCACGAAAGCGUGGGGAGCAAACAGGAUUAGAUACUCUGGUAGUCCACGCCGUAAACGUUGUGCACUAGAUCCGGGAGGUUUUGACGCCGUCCGGGUCGAAGAGAAAUUGAUAAGUGCACCGCCUGGGGAGUACGGUCGCAAGGCUAAAACUCAAAGGAAUUGACGGGGGCUCACACAAGCGGUGGAACAUGUGGCUUAAUUCGAGGCAACGCGAAGAACCUUAUCCAGGGUUUGACAUGCAUGGAUUAACCUCUGGAAACAGAGGCCACGCCCUUUGGGUGGAACAUGCACAGGUGCUGCAUGGCUGUCGUCAGCUCGUGCUGUGAAGUGUUGGGUUAAGUCCCUUAACGAGCGAAACCCCUGUCGUUAGUUGCCAGUAGGUUAUGCUGGGCACUCUAACGAGACUGCCGGUGUCAAACCGGAGGAAGGCGGGGAUGACGUCAAGUCCUCAUGGCCUUUAUGCCCUGGGCUGCACACGUGCUACAAUGGUAUCGACAGAGCGAUGCGAGGCCGCGAGGCGGAGCAAAUCGCAAAAAAGAUGCCCCAGUUCGGAUUGCAGUCUGCAACUCGACUGCAGAAGCCGGAAUCGCUAGUA